rnacentral:misc_RNA from 1 species
AACGCAUAUUGCGCUCUUUGGUAUUCCGAAGAGCAUGCUUGUUUGAGUAUCAGUAAACACCUCAACCAGAUUCUCUUCUUGAAGAGGACCUGGAUGGAUUUGAGCAAACCCAACGCCCUCUUUCUCUUGAGUAGGGGCGGCGGCGGGUUGCUUGAAAUGCAGGUGCAGCUGUCGCAAGAACAGACUGAGCUAAAAGCAUAUCUAUUUAGUCCGUUUCGGCGGAUUAUCUCUAUUUGCUGCAGCUACUCUAAGGUCAUCUUGUCGAGCUGACUGAUGCAGGACUUGUCAGAACCUUUGCGGUUCUUUCAAAACUCGAUCUCAAAUCAAGUAAGACUACCCGCUGAACUUAA